rnacentral:sRNA from 1 species
AUAGACGCGCCUCGGUUAGAACCUCAUUAG